rnacentral:rRNA from 1 species
GACGAAGGAUGCAAGCGUUAUCCGGAUUCAUUGGGUUUAAAGGGAGCGUAGGUGGCCUUAUAAGUCAGUGGUGAAAUCUCUGGGCUUAACCCAGAAAUUGCCAUUGAUACUGUAGGGCUUGAGUAUAGAUGCCGUUGGCGGAAUAUGACAUGUAGUGGUGAAAUACAUAGAGAUGUCAUAGAACACCGAUUGCGAAGGCAGCUAACGAAACUAUAACUGACACUGAGGCUCGAAAGUGUGGGGAGUCAAACAGG